UACGUAGGGUGCGAGCGUUGUCCGGAAUUAUUGGGCGUAAAGAGCUCGUAGGCGGUCUGUCGCGUCGGCUGUGAAAACUCGGGGCUCAACUCCGAGCUUGCAGUCGAUACGGGCAGGCUAGAGUUCGGCAGGGGAGACUGGAAUUCCUGGUGUAGCGGUGAAAUGCGCAGAUAUCAGGAGGAACACCGGUGGCGAAGGCGGGUCUCUGGGCCGAUACUGACGCUGAGGAGCGAAAGCGUGGGGAGCGAACAGG
rnacentral:rRNA from 1 species